GUUUCAGCCGCCGCGGUAAUACGUAGGGUGCGAGCGUUAUCCGGAAUUAUUGGGCGUAAAGAGCUCGUAGGCGGUUUGUCGCGUCUGUCGUGAAAGUCCGGGGCUUAACCCCGGAUCUGCGGUGGGUACGGGCAGACUAGAGUGCAGUAGGGGAGACUGGAAUUCCUGGUGUAGCGGUGGAAUGCGCAGAUAUCAGGAGGAACACCGAUGGCGAAGGCAGGUCUCUGGGCUGUAACUGACGCUGAGGAGCGAAAGCAUGGGGAGCGAACAGGAUUAGAUACCCUGGUAGUCCAUGCCGUAAACGUUGGGCACUAGGUGUGGGGACCAUUCCACGGUUUCCGCGCCGCAGCUAACGCAUUAAGUGCCCCGCCUGGGGAGUACGGCCGCAAGGCUAAAACUCAAAGGAAUUGACGGGGGCCCGCACAAGCGGCGGAGCAUGCGGAUUAAUUCGAUGCAACGCGAAGAACCUUACCAAGGCUUGACAUGUUCUCGAUCGCCGUAGGGAUACGGUUUCCCCUUUGGGGCGGGUUCACAGGUGGUGCAUGGUUGUCGUCAGCUCGUGUCGUGAGAUGUUGGGUUAAGUCCCGCAACGAGCGCAACCCUCGUUCCAUGUUGCCAGCACGUCGUGGUGGGGACUCAUGGGAGACUGCCGGGGUCAACUCGGAGGAAGGUGAGGACGACGUCAAAUCAUCAUGCCCCUUAUGUCUUGGGCUUCACGCAUGCUACAAUGGCCAGUACAAUGGGUUGCGAUACUGUGAGGUGGAGCUAAUCCCAAAAAGCCGGUCUCAGUUCGGAUUGGGGUCUGCAACUCGACCCCAUGAAGUCGGAGUCGCUAGUAAUCGCAGAUCAGCAACGCUGCGGUGAAUACGUUCCCGGGCCUUGUACACACCGCCCGUCAAAC
rnacentral:rRNA from 1 species